rnacentral:lncRNA from 1 species
CGCCCCUCCCCCAGCCUGUCUUCCGCCUUGCAGUUUGAUCUCAGACUGCUGUGCUAGCAAUCAGCGAGACUCCGUGGGCGUAGGACCCUCCGAGCCAGGCAUCAGCUAUCAAAACUUAUGGGAAAUGGAAUUGAAGACAACUACUUCUAGAAUUGGUGCAUGGAAGCUUCUCAUAGGUGAUUAGCCACACUCUUCUUCUGUCAACCUGGUGCAGAAAAGCUUGAAGACCUUGGAAAUCACAUAUUGAUGAUGGAGGAGAUACAAGAAUGAAGGACCCUGGGUUCCUGAAUCAACACUCUAAGAAGAGACUCCUUGAAAUCAAGAGCACUCAUUUUGACAUUGCAAACGGAAAAAUUCACUUCUAUCAGGUGUCAUUAGUUCCUUGCUAGAAUUUCUUUGGUGUCCUUUCUGCAUUUCAAACUCACAAAGGUUCUGUGAAAAGCAAUAUGUUCCCCAGUGGAGCUUAAAGUCUGGUGCAGAAAGCAGACAUUUAACAGGGGACUGAUCGGAGUCAAACCAUAUGCUGUGGCUUUUGCUCCAUGGAAAUCUCAACUAUACUGCAAGAAUAAUUAUUCCUACUUAAUGAAGUUACAGAAGAGAAUGUGGUGCUGGACGGUACUGACUGCAUGGGGAGAGGCCAUACCACAGAAACCUCAAUCUGCCUGAGCCGUGACUCUGAGAGCUGGAGUACCACUGGACAAGGUCUUUGGUACUUCCUCCUGCAUUCAUUCUCCUUCCUGCUGCCCUGUGAAGAAGGUGCCUUGCUUCACCUUUGCCUUCUACUAUGACUGUAAGUUUCCUGAAGCCUCGCCAGACAUGCUGAACUCUAUGUAAGAUGUGCCUUUGCUUGUCAUUCAUCUUCCACCAUGAUUGUGAGGCCUCCCCAGCCACGUGGAACU